rnacentral:snRNA from 1 species
AAUGAUUUAAUUAAAAAAAAAAAUUGGAACCAUGCAGAGAAGAUUAGCAGAGACCCUGGGCAAGGGCGACACGCAAAUUCGGGAAGCGUUCCAUUUUUUU